rnacentral:rRNA from 1 species
UACGUAUGGAGCAAGCGUUAUCCGGAUUUACUGGGUGUAAAGGGAGCGUAGGCGGUGGUUUAAGUCUGAUGUGAAAGCCCGGGGCUCAACUCCGGUAUUGCAUUGGAAACUGGACCACUAGAGUGUCGGAGGGGUAAGUGGAAUUCCUAGUGUAGCGGUGAAAUGCGUAGAUAUUAGGAGGAACACCGGUGGCGAAGGCGGCUUACUGGACGAUUACUGACGCUGAGGCUCGAAAGCGUGGGGAGCAAAC